GAAAUGCGAUAAGUAAUGUGAAUUGCAGAAUUCAGUGAAUCAUCGAAUCUUUGAACGCACCUUGCGCUCCUUGGUAUUCCUUGGAGCAUGCCUGUUUGAGUAUCAUGAAAUCUUCAAAAUAAAUCUUUUGUUAACUCAAUUGGUUUCUACUUUGGUAUUGGAGGUCUUUGCAGCUUCACACCUGCUCCUCUUUGUUCAUUAGCUGGAUCUCAGUGUUAUGCUUGGUUCCACUCGGCGUGAUAAGUUAUCUAUCGCUGAGGACACUGUAAAAGGUGGCCAAGGUAAAUGCAGAUGAACCGCUUCUAAUAGUCCAUUGACUUGGACAAUACUUUUAUGAUCUGAUCUCAAAUCAGGUAGGACUACCCGCUGAACUUAAGC
rnacentral:misc_RNA from 1 species